AGCCAGCGGGAGAGCAGGAAGCUGCUCAAGGAGGACGUGACCUCUGUGUGGGCCACCUUAGAGAUGGAUCCCCAGGGAGCCCAGGAGAGACAGCAGCAGCAGGGUGUCGUCCCCUUCCUGGGCACGUUCCUCUAUCACCUGAAGCUGCUGGACAUUGGGAUGGAGGAUGAUCUGGAAGUGAGUGAGCCUGGAGGUGGGGCCAGGGAGAAGUAUCCUGAGGUUUGGGAGGCGAUAGCCCUGCACUGGGCCCUGAGCUCUCAGUACCUGGCAAACCUUCUCUCAUGAGAGCCCCAUGGCCACCCCUGGGAGCUGGAGAGUCAGGCCCAUCUUAGCAAUGCAUGAAUAGACGUCCCACGUAAGCCCCCCACCAGGCUCCCUGGGCUGGUGAAGCUCAGAGCUGCCUGUCUGCAGAGCUGCAGGAGGCUGUGUCUGAGCUGCACUCAGCCUCCCCCUCAGGCCCUGCCCCUGGGGGAGUGCCAUCAGCCCCUGCAAGUGAGGAAGAACUUCUGUGGUCCAGCUGUCCCUUCCUCCCUGAGGCCCCAGUCUCCCCAUCUGUCAUCAGAGAGGGUGUGCUACAUAAGGUCUCUGGCCUCAGCUCCCCUGUCCCUCCUGCUCUGGAGCCCAGAGCCUGGCCCAGUGUCAAGUUCUCUUUGUGGAAGGUCUGCCCUCUGCUGGGCCCUGACGUUCCUGCAGCCUGAGAAGGGGUGGGA